ensembl:lncRNA
AGGCUUUGUCUGUGCUCUUUCCAUUUAAAAUUAGAGGCACCCACUGCAUUUUAAUCAUGAUCCAAACAAACAUGCUGCAUACAUGCAACAUGAGCAGUUGGUGGAGCUUAAAGCGUUUCCUCGGUUACCGCUGUAAACAAAGCACUUGUGAACACUGCAGCGGGUGGAGCUUAAAGCGUUUCCUCGGUUACCGCUGUAAACAAAGCACUUGUGAACACUGCAGCGGGUGGAGCUUAAAGCGUUUCCUCGGUUACCGCUGUAAACAAAGCACUUGUGAACACUGCAGCGGGUGGAGCUUAAAGCGUUUCCUCGGUUACCGCUGUAAACAAAGCACUUGUGAACACUGCAGCGGGUGGAGCUUAAAGCGUUUCCUCGGUUACCGCUGUAAACAAAGCACUUGUGAACACUGCAGCGGGUGGAGCUUAAAGCGUUUCCUCGGUUACCGCUGUAAACAAAGCACUUGUGAACACUGCAGCGGGUGGAGCUUAAAGCGUUUCCUCGGUUACCGCUGUAAACAAAGCACUUGUGAACACUGCAGCGGGUGGAGCUUAAAGCGUUUCCUCGGUUACCGCUGUAAACAAAGCACUUGUGAACACUGCAGCGGGUGGAGCUUAAAGCGUUUCCUCGGUUACCGCUGUAAACAAAGCACUUGUGAACACUGCAGCGGGUGGAGCUUAAAGCGUUUCCUCGGUUACCGCUGUAAACAAAGCACUUGUGAACACUGCAGCGGGUGGAGCUUAAAGCGUUUCCUCGGUUACCGCUGUAAACAAAGCACUUGUGAACACUGCAGCGGGUGGAGCUUAAAGCGUUUCCUCGGUUACCGCUGUAAACAAAGCACUUAUGCAUUAUACAGAGACAAGAUGAAAAGGAAAUAUACCAUCUAAACUUUUCUGAAGACAGUAAGUUCCCCUCAGACGUACAUUCAUAUAAACUCCUGCCCCUAAAUGAAUCGUAAUUUGUUUAGAAUCUCAUCCGAUCUGAAUCGUCACAUAUUUGAACCGAUUUUCAACCGGCUCACGGUUAAUCAUUACAUCCCUAGCUAAUACAGGAGCAACAAACGCUUCCACUUCCUGAUGAACACACACAAAACACUGCUGUUUAGGAAUGAUCGUAUCUAUCCUACAUGAAUCACGUUUAAUGUCACUGAUGUAUAAAUGUGGAGGGUCUGUCUGUUUUUGUAGCUCAGUUUAAAC